rnacentral:rRNA from 1 species
AGAGUUUGAUCAUGGCUCAGGAUGAACGCUAGCUACAGGCUUAACACAUGCAAGUCGAGGGGAAACGACAUCGAAAGCUUGCUUUUGAUGGGCGUCGACCGGCGCACGGGUGAGUAACGCGUAUCCAACCUGCCCACCACUUGGGGAUAACCUUGCGAAAGUAAGACUAAUACCCAAUGACGUCUCUAGAAGACAUCUGAAAGAGAUUAAAGAUUUAUCGGUGAUGGAGUGGGGAUGCGUCUGAUUAGCUUGUUGGCGGGGUAACGGCCGACCAAGGCGACGAUCAGUAGGGGUUCUGAGAGGAAGGUCCCCGACAUUGGAACUGAGACACGGUCCAAACUCCUACGGGAGGCCA